rnacentral:rRNA from 1 species
UAGUUAAUUUCUUGAAACUCAAAGAAUUUGGCGGUGUUUUAGUCCAUUCAGAGGAAUCUGUCCCAUAAUCGAUAAUACACGAAAUAUUCUACUUAAUUUUGUAAUCAGUUUGUAUACCGCCGUCAUCAGAUUAUCUUUUUAGAGUUAAUAAUCAGAAAUCUCACUUARAAAAAUGUCAGGUCAAGGUGCAGUUUAUGGUUAAGGGGAGAUGGAUUACAAUAAAUAGAUAAAUUUAUAUGGAAAUUAAUAUGAAAAGUUAAUUGAAGGUGGAUUUGAUAGUAAUGUUAAAAUUAAUAACUUGAUUUUUGGCUCUAAAACAUGCACACAUCGCCCGUCGCUCUCGUUAUUAAGAUGAGAUAAGUCGUAACAAAGUAGGUGUACUGGAAAGUGUACCUAGAACGU